UUGUUACAUUACUACUUUGUUUGAGAAGCUUCAUGUCUGCAUUGAGCCUAAAUUUAACAGUUUUUGAAGGGUUUAGUUCUUUGUUUUAUUUCUGUGUCACUGACUUUUUUCAUUUUUAUGUGUGGAUUUGUUAGGCACAUCAACACAUGAUGUAGACAUCGUGUCCAAAAGAAGAGCGAGACGUAAUCCUGAGGCUGAAGCCACCGAGUUUAUUUGAUCUGGAUGUGACAAGUCUUGUUUUAAGGCCCAGUGGAUCAAUGAUUGGAAAGACACCAACUGUUGAUGUUCUAUCUCAACAUUCUCCAGACUCAUGUGAGCGAUAAACCGACUUCAUCCCUCCAACAGACACCAACUGUUGGGGUUCUAUCUCAACAUUCUCCAGAUUCAGAUGUGAGCGAUAAACCGACUUCAUCCCUCCAACAGGUUAUUACAAGUCUAUUUUUACUAUAUCUGCUCUAAAUGUGACCCAACCUAUAUUUUGAAAGACAUUUAUUAAUUUUAAUCUCUCACAGAUCAGUUUAUAUGACAACAUUUUCG